rnacentral:lncRNA from 1 species
UAAUGGAACUUUCGUUUUAGCUGGUCGUGACCAAGAAACCACCGGCUUUGCUUGGUGGGCUGGGAAUGCCAGACUUAUCAAUUUGUCCGGUAAACUACUUGGAGCUCAUGUAGCCCAUGCCGGAUUAAUCGUAUUCUGGGCCGGAGCAAUGAACCUAUUUGAAGUGGCCCAUUUCGUACCAGAAAAGCCCAUGUAUGAACAAGGGUUGAUUUUACUUCCACACUUAGCUACUCUAGGUUGGGGAGUAGGGCCAGGGGGGGAAGUUCUAGAUACUUUUCCGUACUUUGUAUCUGGCGUACUUCACCUAAUUUCCUCCGCAGUCUUAGGCUUCGGUGGCAUUUAUCACGCGCUUCUGNNNNNNNNNNGGGCCGGAGCAAUGAACCUAUUUGAAGUGGCCCAUUUCGUACCAGAAAAGCCCAUGUAUGAACAAGGGUUGAUUUUACUUCCACACUUAGCUACUCUAGGUUGGGGAGUAGGGCCGGGGGGGGGGAAGUUCUAGAUACUUUUCCGUACUUUGUAU